rnacentral:rRNA from 1 species
UACGGGGGGGGCAAGCGUUGUCCGGAAUUACUGGGCGUAAAGGGCUCGUAGGCGGCCAACUAAGUCAGACGUGAAAUCCCUCGGCUUAACCGGGGAACUGCGUCUGAUACUGGAUGGCUUGAGUUUGGGAGAGGGAAGCGGAAUUCCAGGUGUAGCGGUGAAAUGCGUAGAUAUCAGGAGGAACACCAAUAGCGAAGGCAGCUCGCUGGGACGGUACUGACGCUAAGGCGCGAAAGCGUGGGGAGCGAACAGG